GGAGAUAUUGAAGACUAUUUAGAUAAUAAAAACGUAAAACUGAUAGAGCACCAGAGCAAUGAAAGCAAUUCUUCUUUUUUUUUUUUUUUUUUUUUGAUUAAACAGGGAUGAACCCUAUUUACAGAAGCGUUUAGACGAAAACAAAUCACGAGUAAUGAUACCCGAGCACACCCCCAUGCACGAUACAGAGAAUAUCCCAAUCCCACCCUCGGCACUAGCUCUAACAAAGCAGAUCCCGCGCACACCUCCAGACAAAAACACAAGCACACUAGCACAAGCACAACUAGCACACCUAUAACCUAGUUGACAGAGGUAAAGAACACCAUUUUCCAAUAAGAUACAGUUUGAAGAAUGUUUGAACCCAGUGUCUCGUAGCGGGUUCGACGAUUGUCGAAUAGUCUUCUAUUACGCUCCUUCCAAAUCUCCCAAUAGGCUGCUGCGAUUCCGAGGUCGAGAGUGGUUCGAUUUUCACCUGAGACCGUUCGCCGCAAUCGACGCCAUCGUGUUGCAAGUCCUUCAGUUGUGUUGCUUCUCCAAUCUAGGUUGAAAGUGAGUCUAUUUGUUAACCAAUCCCACACAGAAACUGCAUAGAAGCAGUAAUGCAUAAUAUGCUCGACGGGCUCCGCAUCGGAGUGACAGAGGGUGCAGAUUGUCGGGCCAUACCAACCAUGUUUGAGAAGGUUGUCAGCCGUAAGAAGUUUGUUCCGAUCAGCAAGCCAUAGGAAAAUCUUAACUCUGAGAGGAAUUUUGAGGUUCCAAAGGAAAGGGAAAUUGCAGUUGUUGAUGCCAUCAAACAAAAGAAAUUCUGCCGCGCUGUGUACCGAGAACUUUCCCGAGCUGUUCCAUCUCCAAGAUAGCUCGUCGUGUUUGUUGGUUGAGAGGACUAAGUUAUUAGACACCGCCGCUAAGUCAUGAAUUUCUGAUAGCUCUUGUGGACCGCUAAGAGAGUCGAACCCCAGAUUCGGCUGAUUAGAGAAGCAGCGACACCAGGUAUUGACUGUCAUAAUAGAAUUGGCAGAAGCAGCAUAGAGAAUAGGAAAGCGGUUUCUUAGUUGUAUGUCUCCACACCAUCUCGUGGACCAAAAGGGCGUAUCCUUAUCGUCGCCAAGGAUGAAAUCAACAGAGGUGAGGAAAGGGGCAUAGAGUUUAAGCAUGUAUUUCCAGAUCGGGCAGCAUCCGUAAGGAAUGAAGCUAGCUGAAGCAGCUGGUCUCCGUCUAUAGUGUUCCUGCUUCAAAAGCCGCACCCAUGGUAACGAGCCGCAGUUAUGGAACUUCCAAAGCCCCUUCAUCAAUAUGGCCGAGUUUAUAGUUUUAAGCUUGUAGAUCCCUAUCCCCCCCUGCUCUUUUGGGGCGACAUACAUGAUCCCAAUUAGCAAGACAAUGGAAACCGCUCGUAGUAGACUUGCCUUUCCAGAAGAAGCCUCGACGAAUCCUGUCGAUCGCACGCAUCACCCAAGCUGGAAGAGCAAAUGCGGAGCAAAAAUAAAUUGGCAAAGGCGGAGAGGACCGAGUUCAGCAGAAUUAAGCGCCCACCUCUGGAUAGAGUGGCACAUUGCCAACCGGACAAGAUCUCGUGUCCAAUGGCUACGGGAAGGGGAUGCAAACACGAAGUUCUUCCACCUCCGGGCUAGCUGCCACAGAAGCGCGAACUUUAUCUCUCAGCUUUCGGACGGUACACAUCCCCUAUCCUCUUCUGAUUCUAUUGCUAAUCACCUGCGCUCCUUCUACCUUAAUCUGAUUGGCUCCGAGCAACCACCCACCUCUUCUGUCAACUUUUCUGCUAUUUUCAACGAAGUAGGCUGCGACCUCUCCUCCCUUCACGGUCCUUUCUCGGUUGAAGAAGUGAAGUCUGCUAUCUUUGCUUGUGCACCGGACAAGGCUUCGGGACCGGACGGUUUCCCCUUGCUUUUCUACCACCGGUUCUGGUCAAUCCUGAAGAAUGAUAUCAUGGAAGUCUUUGACAGCUUCUAUAAUGGCUCAUCGGAUCUUCGUGGAAUCAGCACCAGCUGGAUCUGCCCGAUUCCUAAGAAACCGACGGUGUUGACGGCUAGAGAUCUACGUCCGAUCAGUUUAGUUUACAGCUUGGCCUAAAUACUUUCCAAAGUAUUGGCUUCUCGGCUUCAACCCUUCAUGAAUCAGCUCAUCAACCCUUAUCAGGCAGCCUUCAUCAAGGGCCGUUACAUUUUAGACAACUUCUGUUGUGCGCACAUCCUAACUCACCACCUCCAUGCCUCUAAACGUCAUGCGGCUCUCUUAAAGAUCGACUUCGAACGAGCUUUUGAUCAUAUCAACUGGAGCUUUCUCUUCGAUCUCCUCAACGCCAGGGGUUUUAGCGACAAGUGGAUUGGUUGGAUCAAAGCUCUCCUGAGCUCUAAUACGUCGGAUGUGCUCCUCAACGGUGAUCCGGGCAGGUCGUUCUCCUGCAAACGUGGGCUUAGACAGGGAGACCCUCUGUCCCCACUUCUUUUCGUACUUUGUAUUGAUGUGCUUUUCAAACUGAUCGAGAAUGCUGUCCGUGCCGACUGCAUCCCUGCCGUCGGAAUAGGUGAUGUUAAAAUUCACUCUCUCCAAUUCGCGGACAACGUCCUCCUCUUCUUUGAUGGCUCUAUCAGAUCUGCGGAUAUUAUAAGGAUUCUACUUGAAGCCUUCUCUGCAUGUUCCGGGCUCAAAAUCAACUUCGGCAAAAGCUCCUUGGCUCCGAUCAACCUCCCUACGGAACAGGCUGCUGCUAUAUCUAGUAUACUUGGAUGUCCUUUGCAGCAGUUCCCUUUGCCAUACCUUGGAUUACCUCUCUCCCCUAGGUCCCCUCGACGCGUCAAUUACCUGCCGAUCAUUGAGAAAAUCGAUAAUGAAAGCAAUUCUAAGUUAAGUCAAAUAAGACAAACUUUUUCGCUUUUCACUCAAACUAGACAUGGAAAACAUUGUUAGAUCUUGUAAAGCAACGACAACAAAACUAGUUAUAUGAUUUCAGUUUUCAUGAUGUUAGUUAAUUUUUUUUGUCCUUGUUGAGGGCUAAAGUGAAGCAAACAUGGAAGUUUUGGGAUCUUGAAUGUCAAACUUUAAGUUCAAGGAUCAAAAUGAAACUUGACCAAAAGUACCUGGAUUACUAGUACGAAUUAGUCAACUUUAUUAUAGUUAUACGACCUAUAUAUAUUAGUGCU
rnacentral:lncRNA from 1 species